rnacentral:rRNA from 1 species
UACGAGUGCCUCAAGCGUUAUCCGGAAUCACUGGGCGUAAAGGGUGUGUAGGCGGUCAUGUUAGUCCGUGGUCAAAUUCUUCGGCUCAACCGGGGGUCCGCCACGGAAACGGCAUGACUUGGAGGGUGCAAGGGGUGAAUGGAACUCAUGGUGUAGGGGUGAAAUCCGUUGAUAUCAUGGGGAACACCGAAAGCGAAGGCAGUUCACUAGUGCAUUCCUGACGCUGAAACACGAAAGCGUGGGUAGCGAAUGGG